rnacentral:rRNA from 1 species
AUUGAACGCUGGCGGCAGGCCUAACACAUGCAAGUCGAGCGGAUGAAGGGAGCUUGCUCCUGGAUUCAGCGGCGGACGGGUGAGGAAUGCCUAGGAAUCUGCCUGGUAGUGGGGGAUAACGUCCGGAAACGGGCGCUAAUACCGCAUACGUCCUGAGGGAGAAAGUGGGGGAUCUUCGGACCGCACGCUAUCAGAUGAGCCUAGGUCGGAUUAGCUAGUUGGUGGGGUAAAGGCCUACCAAGGCGACGAUCCGUAACUGGUCUGAGAGGAUGAUCAGUCACACUGGAACUGAGACACGGUCCAGACUCCUACGGGAGGCAGCAGUGGGGAAUAUUGGACAAUGGGCGAAAGCCUGAUCCAGCCAUGCCGCGUGUGUGAAGAAGGUCUUCGGAUUGUAAAGCACUUUAAGUUGGGAGGAAGGGCAGUAAGUUAAUACCUUGCUGUUUUGACGUUACCAACAGAAUAAGCACCGGCUAACUUCGUG